CGCUAAGAAGCUAAAUCGGAUAUAGCGUUAGCCUUUUAAGCUAAAGAAUGGUGAUUUCCAACCACCCCUAGCGA
rnacentral:tRNA from 1 species